rnacentral:rRNA from 1 species
AUUGAACGCUGGCGGCAGGCCUAACACAUGCAAGUCGAACGGUAACAGGAAGAAGUUUGCUUCUUUGCUGACGAGUGGCGGGCGGGUGAGACAUGUCUGGGAAACUGCCUGAUGGAGGGGGAUAACUAGUGGAAACGGUAGCUAAUACCGCAUAACGUCUCAAGCCCAAAGAGGGGGACCUUCGGGCCUCUUGCCAUCGGCUGUGCCCAGAUGGGAUUAGCUAGUAGGUGGGGUAACGGCUCACCUAGGAGACGAUCCGUAGCUGGUCUGAGAGGGUGACCAGCCACACUGGAACUGAGACACGGUCCAGACUCCUACGGGAGGCAGCAGUGGGGAAUAUUGCACAAUGGGCGCAAGCCUGAUGCAGCCAUGCCGCGUGUAUGAAGAAGGCCUUCGGGUUGUAAAGUACUUUCAGCGGGGAGGAAGGGAGUAAAGUUAAUACGCUCACUCGUUGACGUUACCCGCAGAGAAAGCACCGGCUAACUCCGUG